AAGUCGUAACAAGGUUUCCGUAGGUGAACCUGCGGAAGGAUCAUUAUUGAAUUCACUUGCUUGGUUGUGCUGGUUCCGAAAGGUUCAUGUGCACGCCUUGCUCUUGAUCUCUUUCCACCUGUGAACUUUAGUAGGCAGCUCUGCGCCUUGGUUGAUUGUCUGUUUCCGCUUGCAAGAGUGGGUUUGGGAGGGUUCUGGUUCCUUCAAUGGGGCUCGUCUCUCUGGGACUUUCAGCUGAGCAGGGAGUUGCUCUACGCCUUUUUACACACUCUAUUGUAUGUCUAGAAAGUCCAUUAUUGGUCGGAAGACCUUUAAUCUUACACAACUAUUGACAACGGAUCUCUUGGCUCAC
rnacentral:misc_RNA from 1 species